rnacentral:misc_RNA from 1 species
GAAGAUUGAAAUUUCACAAGCUCAUUUGGAGCUGUUGAAGCAAACUAAUGUUCUCAAUGAUGCCUUCCCCAUCCAUCAUGAUGGAGAAUUUGGAACAAUAAACAAUUUCCGACUUGGAAGACUUCCUAAAAUUCCGGUAAAGAAACAAGUGUACAACUCUCUUUUUCUUGCUUUCUAACAAUCGUCUAUGGUUGAUGAAUUAUGAUCAUACCUUUUUCCAUCUUCCUUAAUGGAAAGCACAACUGGAAAUUUGUCAAAAAAAUACACUGUAUGUUCAACCAACAAGACAUUUUAGGCUACAAGUUAACAUGAAAUUCCUUCCUUUCCUAGACUUUUUCUCUCCCCCCUUCUUCACUGCUUUUUUCUCUCAGUUCUUCUUGGCUUUUUGAAUAUGAGCAUGGUAAAAGGGGUAAUGAGUAUAGGUUUGAUUUACCAUUGAGGCAUCACUCCAACUAAGCCAAAAACAACAAAAACUUAAUUCUGACUAUUUAGGCUUAAUUCUGACUAUUUAGAUUUGGUAGGUAAAAGUUGAACAAAUUUCAUACCUGCUAACUAAAUUUUUAUAUGACAAGAUGGUAUAUGGCAUGGGGCAUAUAGUUCAACUUACAUAUUUGCAGAUACUGCUAAGAAACCAGAUUAAGGCAUGAUAUGCAAUGAUAAUACUGUUGAUGUCUGCUAUCAAAUGGUCAUUGAUCAACCGGCAGAAGUGGGGGAAAAAAGACUGAUCAAUUUUGGUUGGUUGUAUCAAGAAAUGUUGGUUAAAAUUUAUGCCAAAUAGAAUAAUAGUCCAAUAAAAUAUCCUCUUGUUUUAAUUGCAUGCAGCAAAUGCUUCUUUAACGUAAGGAUUACCUUUCAUAUUGUAGUUUACCCAUAUAUUCAUGUUUGUAGUUCAUGUGAAUUGACAUUUUAAUUUGUUCUUCUGGCCUCUUUAGUUUAUACCACUGCAAACAAGAUGGAGCGUGUGGCAUGAUAGCUUCCUAGUUCUCACACUCAUCUUACUCUCACUCACUUUCUUAUUUUGAAAUUCCCUUUCUUGGACUUAAGAAAAUUGAAUACUAUUUGUGAUUAUCAUUUUUAUUACUUACGAGGUUGUGCAAAUGUUCAGGUCGAAUGGGAUGAGAUAAAUGCUGCCUGGGGCCAAGCUUGC